UACGGAGGGUGCGAGCGUUAAUCGGAAUUACUGGGCGUAAAGCGCACGCAGGCGGUUUGUUAAGCUAGAUGUGAAAGCCCCGGGCUCAACCUGGGAUGGUCAUUUAGAACUGGCAGACUAGAGUCUUGGAGAGGGGAGUGGAAUUCCAGGUGUNGCGGUGAAAUGCGUAGAUAUCUGGAGGAACAUCAGUNNCGAAGGCGACUCCCUGGCCAAAGACUNACGCUCAUNUNCNAAANUNUNNGUAGCGAACAGG
rnacentral:rRNA from 1 species